GUGGAUGUAGCUCAGUGGUAGAACAUUUGCCUAGCAUGCACAAGGACCUGGGUUCAAUCCCCAGUACA
rnacentral:tRNA from 1 species